UGCCAGACUCCUACGGGAGGCAGCAGUGGGGGAUAUUGCACAAUGGGGGAAACCCUGAUGCAGCGACGCCGCGUGAGUGAAGAAGUAUUUCGGUAUGUAAAGCUCUAUCAGCAGGGAAGAAAAUGACAGUACCUGACCAAGAAGCCCCGGCUAACUACGUGCCAGCAGCCGCGGUAAUACGUAGGGGGCAAGCGUUAUCCGGAUUUACUGGGUGUAAAGGGAGCGUAGACGGCUGUGCAAGCCAGAUGUGAAAGCCCGGGGCUCAACCCCGGGACUGCAUUUGGAACUGUGUGGCUGGAGUGUCGGAGAGGCAGGCGGAAUUCCUAGUGUAGCGGUGAAAUGCGUAGAUAUUAGGAGGAACACCAGUGGCGAAGGCGGCCUGCUGGACGAUGACUGACGUUGAGGCUCGAAAGCGUGGGGAGCAAACAGGAUUAGAUACCCGAGUA
rnacentral:rRNA from 1 species